GCAGAUUCUGGUGAAAUAUCACGGAAACUGUCUGAACAAAGAAGAAAAGGGUUAGAGAACAACCUCCAUCCAAGUGAAACCACUAGGAAGAGAUCCUGCAAGGUUUUUUUUAGUCUCUCAUGGGGAAGUAUGGUGUGAAGAGUCACAAAGGAAGUGAUGUGUCUUCUAACCAAUGGAGUGCAGUGUGUCAAGACCGAUGCGAUGAAGCAGGUCUUCCUGACCACAAUAACUGGUCCCUCUUUCAAGUCGUUUCCACCCCAACCGGUCCAGGGAGAUGGCCGCCCUCCCUGAGCCAAGUUAUGCUGAAGGUUUUUACUUCCUGUGAAUACUCACAAAGUUUAGUUUCCGUGCAGUCUGUUGGUUUCCUUAACUAGGCUAUUAUUUAUUAUGAACUGGCUUGUAUGAAAACUGAUUGGGCAACAGUGGAAUGGCUUGAAUUGAUUGUCCUCAGAUGAUGUUGUUGUGAAAUGGCACUAUACAAAUUAAGCCAAAUUGAGCUGAAUAGUUGCUUCCUAAAGAUGAUGGGCUGUUGGCUUCAUCAAGUAGAGAAGUCCAGCAGCCACUGGGGUGGUUUGGUGCUAAAUGUAAGAGAACUGGGAUGAGAAUUAACUCAUCCCAAUCUGAGGCCAUGGUCCUCGGUUAAAAAGGGUGGAUUUCCCUAUCCAAAGUUUGGGUAUCCUGGAGUUGCUUGUUCAUGAGCAGGGUAAGGAGGGAAUUGGUGCAGCAUCACCAAAGGUUGUAUUGGUUUGUAAAUCUGAAGAGAGGAAAGUUGUAGCUGUUGAUUUUCCAGUCUACAUGCCAACCCUCACCUAUGGUCAUGAGCUGUUGGUAAUGAUGGAAAAAAUUAGAUUGUGGAUACAAGUAGUAGAAAUGAGCCUCCUCCAGAGAAUGGAUGGGCUCUCCCUUAGAGACUCAUGGGUUAGGGAAGCUAACAAUGCAGUAGAACCAGCUCAACAAGCUGCAGCCUGCACACCUGCUUCCCUUUUUUCAGGUUACUAUGCGGCUACACAAGGAUGGAAAUAUAUUCCAGCCAUCAGUUGUCGUUGUAACAAAGGUUCAGUUUUAAACUUUACAAACACAAAAAUGUAUAUGUAGAUAAGUAGUGCAAUAAGCUCAUUCAGAAUCAAAGUUAAUUUCAGACCCUGACUGGGAGCGCUUUCCAUCUGAAAGAGCCUGAAA